CCUACGGGAGGCUGCAGUGGGGAAUAUUGGACAAUGGGCGAAAGCCUGAUCCAGCCAUGCCGUGUGUGUGAAGAAGGCCUUCGGGUUGUAAAGCACUUUCAGUGGGGAAGAAAGCCUUGGGGCUAAUACCCUCGAGGAAGGACAUCACCCACAGAAGAAGCACCGGCUAACUCCGUGCCAGCAGCCGCGGUAAUACGGAGGGUGCGAGCGUUAAUCGGAAUUACUGGGCGUAAAGCGCGCGUAGGCGGUCUGAUAAGCCGGUUGUGAAAGCCCCGGGCUCAACCUGGGAACGGCAUCCGGAACUGUCAGGCUAGAGUGCAGGAGAGGAAGGUAGAAUUCCCGGUGUAGCGGUGAAAUGCGUAGAGAUCGGGAGGAAUACCAGUGGCGAAGGCGGCCUUCUGGACUGACACUGACGCUGAGGUGCGAAAGCGUGGGUAGCAAACAGGAUUAGAUACCCCUGUAGUC
rnacentral:rRNA from 1 species